GCCUUACGAAUCCUGGAUACAUCCCGUUUACCCGCUCUGAGCAGUAAAGUGCCUGGAAGCUGGAGGGAGGAGAUGAACUCUCGAGCCUGAGUUUGAAGCCAGCCUCUGCCACCCACCCCUGUCGGAAGUCAAGCCACUCCAUAACCUCGCUGACCUUUCGCUUUCUCAUCUCUAAGGCCGACUAUGUACCAGGCAGCGUGCGAGAGCACCCCAAGCCAGGAAACAAGAGCGCUCUUAUAAGGGGUAGAGUACCACAUGAUAGCCUCAAAGUACCCAGAGCUCUCAUCACCAUUCAAUCCUCUGAAAAUGAAGCUUGUGCAUCUCACUUCCUAGAGUUGCCGCCUCCUUCAAUACAAAGAGCCGGGACGUGCUUUCUACUAGGCACGUUGCCACUGUAGGUGGGUCAGCAGCCAGCAUUGCUUCAGACCAGCAGUCUUGAGGACAGUGCGUGAAUCUGAUGUUGUGUCCUGGAAGUGACUCCCUUAAAUGAUAUCUCGC